GGGGGGGUUCUGGACUAUCUCGGGGUCUGGAUUAUAUUCCCUUUGUCUGGACCUUGGGAGAUAACACCUAUUAUCACUGCUGGGGCAGUACUAAUUGCUGGAACAACAUCUCUUUGUCAGGGCCUUGAGAUAUAGGCAGGACCCGAAGAAUGAAGACACAUCUGUCAGCAGAAACUGCAACAGUAAACAGCCUACCUAGGGACAGGGACGAGACCCAAAAAGGAGCAGGAGACCCCAGACCUAAAUAUUACUAUUGGUCCAAACUACUGUGUGAAGGGUGGAGAGCUUAGAUUGGAAAGUAUAAUUGCCCAGGGAUUUCUUUGUUCAGGGUCCCUCUUCAGAGGCACCCAACUCAAGCUGUAAGCACUGCAUGUGUGUCAUUAAAAUUUAUUUAUUUAAUUUGCCUUGAUUUGGCUCCGAACUCUUCAGCGGGAACCUAGGGUCGGACCCUGCUCAAGUUGUAAUUACUGCACGCACAUCACUAAAACUUACUCCCAAGGUGAAGAGGACCAACGGGACGCCGCUGGAUCCAUGGGUGGUGAUAUCUCUUUCUCUUUCUCUCUCUCUUUCUCUCUCUUUCUCUUUCCUCCCCUUCGCCUUUCCCCACCUUUUCUCCCCACUUCGUGGAAAAUAAAGCUAAAAGGUUGUACGAUAUUUGACCGGUUUUAGUGUCUUAAUCUCGUCCUUGGGAUCGUAAUGAAACCCUCCCAAUAUUGGAUCAGGACAUCUAAUUGAUGUCACGGACAGGAUCCCUUGAGACGAGAGUGUUGUACAACCUUAUGGUGUGCUCAGCGAUGGUGUGUGAACGAGACGUGCGGACAAGUACGAAGUGAGUGCGGAGUUCCGAUCCGUGGUUCUGCUCUCCUGCGAGGGAAGCAGCUGGAGAUGAACGAAGUGGCGGCGAUCUGACCAAGAUGCACCUACUGCUCUGGACCAUCCUGAUUCAAGGAUGCAUCCACGAAGGUGAUGAACGACCACUCCCUCUACCUUCCCCCAACCCAUUUAAUCCCUUCGAGAACAACGAAUUCGUGUUGCUGGUGAAAGCAGUAAGCCGAACUUUCAGUUGAAGCCACUGCUGGGUUUGCGGAGGACCACUAGUGUUAUCCAGUUGGCCAUGGACAUCCACAUCCCUCACGCCAGACCAGAUCGUAAGCAGUUAUAGCGAAACUGCGAAUGGCACGUGGGACGACAGUGGGACCUGGCCAAUUCAGUUUCCAACCAUGGGGCAAUAUUGUUUAAAUCGUACCCAGGAGGGAGGGAUCAAAGUGGGGGGAGGUAAAUGUCAAUGGACACUCACUUCUAAGUUGCUUGAUUAAAAACAGAAAUCUCUA